GGGCGCAGCGGGCCGGGCCCGCUCCCGGGCCGGGCUCCAGCUUCCGUUAGCGGGGCGGUGCGGAGGGGAGCCCGCCCGAGCCGCCCCGCAGGGAGAGCCGGAGGAGCAUGGCCGGGGCAGAGAGCCGCCCUCCUGCCGCGCCGGGUGAAGAUGUCAAACCAUUUACUCCUGAGAAAACCAAGGAAAUUGUGAUGUCUCUACAGCAACCUGCAGUCUUCUGUAACAUGGUUGGUGACUGGCCAGCCCUGCACUGGAAUGCAAAAUACCUCUCUGCUGUGUUGGAUGGAAAGACAAUCCAGUUUAGGCUAGGCCUGAAGACUGUGGGUUUAGUUCCCCAGUUUGAAACCAGCUGUAGCUACGUGAAGGCUACACUUGAAGAAUUUUUGGCUUGGAGUUGUGGGCAGCCUUCUUGUCUCUCUGGACCAUUCAGUUGCUACGAAUACUCCAAAUACUGGGCUUAUGCUGACUACAAAUACAUUGCCAGGAUAUUUGAAGACAAGCCAGAAAUUUUCCAGGAUAUAAGGUGGUCUGACUUUGGUUUUCCUGGAAGAAGUGGUAAAGAGAGCACACUGUGGAUUGGUUCUGAAGGAGCAAACACCCCUUGCCAUUUGGACUCCUACGGCUGCAACUUAGUGUUGCAAAUACAGGGAAGGUAACAAGUCCGUAUGCCUACAACAAAUACAGGAGAAAGUUGUACUGUGCUUUGGAGUUAGUUUUGGACUCAUGUAUUAAUUCUAGCUCCUGAUUAUUUUAGUUUUCUGAGCUCUCAAUGAUUGAAGAGCAUCAGAACUGUUCUAUAGAAAAUGGCAAAAUUUCAGGAGGUUGGAGAUGGAUCAUAGAGGUAAUAUUUUCUUUUGCUUGAGGAAGAUCUUUUCUGAUCUGUGUGCUAUGUGGUCCAAUAAUAAACAUUUUAAUCUUCCUCGUAGUUAUGAAUUCAGGAAUUUGGAGUUAGGAGAUAAAGAGUUAAAAAUAAAAAGCCCAGAAACAAAAUGGAAAUAAACUACUUGAGAAUUUAACGAUAUUAUCUCUGUAAGAGCCUCUAAUAGCCUGCUAGAAUUAAUUUAAAAGGGGAACAUCAGGAUGGGAGCAGCCAGCUGUGAGCAAAGUUAAAAGGGACGUUUGAGGCUCCAAACUGAUUUUGGAGCUUUGUGGCUUUGUGGCUGUAUCUUUCUGCCUGUUUGCAUGCUGACUUCCCCCCUCUCCCAUUCUUUUUUUUCUCCUUUUCCUGUAUAUUGGCCUCAGGGGUUUUUUGUUAUCUGUUAUUGCUAGAGUAACAAAACAAUUUUCAUGCAUUUUUUAGGUUUGAUAGUAUAGACUGGAACAAGUGGGGUUUUAAUCUAAUUAAUUACUCAGACAUUUUAUAGAACAGUAAAAUCAUGGUGGUCUUGCGAUUAUGGUGCAGGAUUGGAAGUCACAGAUGCUGGGUUCUAUGCUGGGCAGCACCACCGAUUGACAGGCUUUAAGGCCUGAGGCAAAUGAAAUUGUCAUCAUCUUAUCUGUAAGAAGGGUAACUCCAUUUAGCUCUCACUAAACUCUCUAGUUUCUCUCUUCUAGGCAGAUUUUCAUUCUUGUUUAUAAACAGCCUUGAGAUCCUGGGGUGAACGUGCAGCAGAGACACUCUGGAAGCCACUCUCAGCACUGUGUUUUGCUGCAGCCAGUCUGUAGACUUCAGAUCACAUCAGUAAGCAUUAUGCAUUAAAGUCCAGACACUUAAGUGUAUUUAGGAGCCGGAAAUCUCAUUGAAAACCAUGAGACUUACAUGCCUAAAUAUCAUCUAAGGAUCCACCUAAAUACUGGGUGUACUAACUACAGUAAUUUAGCAGACUUGAUGCCUGCCCUGCCACUUUGAUCUCUACCUUCAGGUGUUGAACUCGAGCCAGAGUUCCAGCAUCACAUAGCAAUUCUGCCUGCCUUCUCAAGACAUUUCUUCCCCCUCUGGUAGAGCAAAAUACUUGUUCCUCUCAGGGAAAGAUGCAGCCUAAAGCCUUUGCAUGGCCUGAAAAGACAAAGUUGUUUUCCUCUUCAGAGCAAAGCCUAUAAAUAGAUUGCGAACUUCCACAAGCUUGCAAAUCCUGUGCUUCUUCAGAGCAGAAAGAUUCCCUUUUGAGACUCACAAUCAAGACAGGCUUUGUAACAGAAUAUGAGCUUAUGCUAAACUUAAAUAGAUUUGCCUUUGCAGGAAAGCCAGGGAUGACUCCUUAGCCCUUUGUUGCUAUCUUGAAUUUCCUCCUUGCAUCCCUCGGGCUUCUUAAUUUUUUGCUUCAUGAUAUUGCUUUGUCAAGAGCCUGCAGGAUUAACCCAUGAGCCUCCUAACCUAGUUACUCUCUGCCCUUUCAGAGGGUCUAGCCUGGACGGCAAAACAAAGUUGCAGUAAGGCUUGAGUUUCAGGAGAACUAUUUUUUGUGCUUGCACCCAGCAGUAGCUUUGGAUCCCUUAUGAGGAAUCCAGUGUAUUCAGCAAAGUCAACAUUACCAAUCCUGAUCUGAAACGCUUUCCCAAGUUUAGAAACACAACAGCCCAUGUUGUUACACUAAGUCCAGGACAGGUCCUGCUUGUUCCAAGGCACUGGUGGCACUAUGUGGAAUCAAUUGAUCCCGUCACUAUCAGCAUAAACUCUUGGAUUGAACUGGAUGCAGAUCAUGAAGCCCGUGUAGAAGAAGCAAUAACUCGAAUGCUGGUGUGUGCCAUAAAAUCAGCAGAAAAUCCCAGUGAUGGAGAUCCCUGGCUAAAUCCCACAGAGGUUGAGGCAACAUCCCAUGAAAUCAAUCUUCAAUACCUGAAUAAAGCAGUGUCUGCAUAUUUCAAGAGUCGAAAGGCAAGUGAAUCAGAGCAGCCGUGUUCCAGCAGCACUGGUGCAGAGCAAAGGACAACUGCCUCAUGCAAGAGGAAGAAAAGGGAAGUUGGCUGUGAACCAGAGGGCUGCAGAUUACUAACCCAUGAGCUUGGCUUUUCAACAUUUAAAGCAGCAAAUCUGCAGAAAAUACCUUUUGGGCCUCAUCUUAUUCAAGUUUUACCACAGUCUCAAGAAACAAGCUCGAUGGGUGCAGUUGCAGUUGAAAGUGAUGGUAGAGAUCUUCUCCAUGGAAAUGAAGGAGGACAUUUUGGAAAAUUACACUGCA